UUCAAGUGUGCAUCUCCUUAGUUUAUGUUGCUCCUUCAUUUGAGUUUGACCAUUUGUUGUUGUUGGCUAACAUUUGCUUGUUUUGUAGGCUUUGAGAACAAUUCACUUGUGCUUAUGGUUUAUGUGUUUCAUAUUGGGUUGUUUGGUUGAUAUUGACUUUUAACUGCUUGUUUGGAUUGUGUACUGAUUGGUUUAGCUGUUUCCACAGGUACCUAAGUUGCUUUAAGUUCAUUUGAAAUUUGC
rnacentral:lncRNA from 1 species